ACCCGCGCCAGCCCGUCUCUCUGGAAAGUUCACCGGAGCCCCGAAAGCCCUUCAAGGCGGGGUCUGGUCCCACACUGGCGGGUUCUCCCAUUACUGGAGGCUCCUGACCCUUGCCCUUCCCAGGAGGAAGGGAGCAGAGAACGCGCCCGAUUCCCGACCGGGUGAAAAACUUUGCUUCCUAGGAGCUCGGGGGAGGCCAAAGUGAGUUCCGCCGGAGACGCCCGGGAGGGGCGGCGGACCUGAGAAGGCAAAACAGCCCUCCGUCCUAAGCGCCUGGACGCGGGGAGCCGGCCUGCGCAGGGAGGGCAUCGCCCGCCCCCCAGCACGCCGGCCCAGCCGCCCGGCGAUCGCCGACCUCCCCGCGUCUCCCUGGAGUCGCCCUGCAGCCCCGGCCCCUGGCAGAAGCAGACCUGCGCCUUUAAGAGCCGCUGGGUUUACCUUUGCUCCGUUUACCCGGCGCAGCGCUGCCCCCUCCUCCCGGGCCCCCCGCCCGCCAGCCGCCGCGAGUCGCCCGCGGACUCACCGCGCGUGUCCUGGGGGCCGCGGUGCGCCGGCUCCCGCCCGCGACAGCCGAGGGGCCGGGCCCUGCGCCCUGCUGGGGUCCCUGCCCGCCCUCGGAGCUGCGGCCGCUGGUCGGGAAAGGUCGGGGUCCAGGGGAAGAGAGACGUGCAGGGGAAGAGAGACGUGCAGAGUAAGAGCUGCACGGCAAGGUGACACGGGGCCCAGGAGAGUCAGGGACACCUUCACAGAGGAGAGGGGACAGCUGAAAUGACGGAGAGUCUGCGACCUGCUCAGAGACUGUCCCGCUGCCCCUGCCCUCUGACA
ensembl:lncRNA